UCAAUCUCGUGCGGCUAGAAGCCGCCUGUCCCUCUAAGAAGAGUUAAAUUGUUUUGCGCCGGGAGCCCGGUUAAGGGAAUAUCCCGGCGCCUAUUUAGCAGGCUAGAGUCUCGUUCGUUAU
rnacentral:rRNA from 1 species